rnacentral:lncRNA from 1 species
CGUGGUAGGAGGAAUGAAGGCUUUGAUUUGACAUUCCCAUGUUUGUUGUUUUUCAGUCUUUCUGCUCACUAAGGUAAUAAUGGCCACUGGGCUGAAGCCCUGGAGGGUUCAUCAGCUUCCAGGGGCUCUCAGGGGGCUCUGGGCUGCCUCUGCUCUGCUUUGCACCCACCUAUUUCUGGCCAGCUCUGACAACAGGCUCUGCCCAUUGCUGAUUUUAAAACCAGCAAUAAAUCUGGGGCCUCAGCAAGUCUUUACAGAGUUAAAAAUAUGAAGAUUGAGUCAUUAAGUAAAAGAAAAAAAAAAUUGAGGGGUUAAUCUGUUUCACAUGAAAACCUGACUUUCUGUUUUUCUUUCUCAUAUCUUCUCUUUUUAUAGAUGAUGAUCAUCCUCGGUGUAGUAUGUGCAGUCAUUCUCAUUAUAAUUAUAAUUUAUUUCUCCACUUGAGAAAGCAGAGAAGGAAGACUUGGCACACCUUUGUUCAUAUCAACCGACGAUAUCAGUGUUCCUUUGUUGAACUCCGCUUUUUAAUUCCCGCUGUCUUGGGAUUUUUGCUUGUAAUAACCCAUAAGCAUUCAGUGUGGUGUAUUUUGGAAUUCUGUUGUUUCCACAAGAAACUGUACCAGCUAAAUACUGCCAAGUAGUUCCAUACACUGUCUAAUCACUGUGUCUUAAGAUGUGUACGCACUGACCUUCAGAAACUGUAGUAUAUGAAAAGCAUCCUAAACCAUCUCAGAAUCAGAGAAUGCAGCUGUGGGGAAGCUCAUGUUUAAAGGGACACUGCCAGGUGGAUUGGACCCAAAUCUAAGGUUGCAGCAAACAUUAAGACCAAAAUUCUCAAUCUGAGCUCCUAAAGUUGGAUGGCAAAAUCCAUUGUCAGAUGUAUCUGCUACUCCCAUUGAAGAGAGUGAUACCUCUAAGUAUUCAUGUAAGAUAUCAUAUUUCAGUUUAGCCAACCAAACACAGAUUUCUUUGAGGUUAGAUGUAGAAUCCGAAUCUAAAAACCUAAAUAAAGACUGGUUUAUCAUCUUGUAUGGAUUUAAU